AUAUGUUUACAUGGAAGCGUUCUUAGCGGCGGACGGGUGAGUAACACGUGGGUAACCUGCCUCAAAGUGGGGGAUAGCCUUUCGAAAGGAAGAUUAAUACCGCAUAAGCCUACAGUGCCGCAUGGUACAGCAGGAAAAGGAGCAAUCCGCUUUGAGAUGGACCCGCGGCGCAUUAGCUAGUUGGUGAGGUAACGGCUCACCAAGGCGACGAUGCGUAGCCGACCUGAGAGGGUGAUCGGCCACAUUGGAACUGAGACACGGUCCAGACUCCUACGGGAGGCAGCAGUGGGGAAUAUUGCACAAUGGGCGAAAGCCUGAUGCAGCAACGCCGCGUGAGUGAUGAAGGCCUUCGGGUCGUAAAGCUCUUUGAUCAGGGAUGAUAAUGACAGUACCUGAAAAACAAGCCACGGCUAACUACGUGCCAGCAGCCGCGGUAAUACGUAGGUGGCGAGCGUUGUCCGGAAUUACUGGGCGUAAAGGAUGCGUAGGUGGAUAUUUAAGUGGGAUGUGAAAUCCCCGGGCUCAACCCGGGAACUGCAUUCCAAACUGGGUAUCUAGAGUGCAGGAGAGGAAAGCGGAAUUCCUAGUGUAGCGGUGAAAUGCGUAGAUAUUAGGAGGAACACCAGUGGCGAAGGCGGCUUUCUGGACUGUAACUGACACUGAGGCAUGAAAGCGUGGGUAGCAAACAGGAUUAGAUACCCUGGUAGUCCACGCCGUAAACGAUGGGUACUAGGUGUAGGAGGUAUCGACCCCUUCUGUGCCGUCGUUAACACAAUAAGUACCCCGCCUGGGGAGUACGG
rnacentral:rRNA from 1 species